AUUUGGAUCAAACAAAUGGCCAUAAGAUGGUUUUUUAACGUUGUUGCAUCAUAUUACAUACAACGGUUGCAUGCUAUCAUUGCUAUAUAUAUAAAUUACCAAAGUGCUCACUGUCAAGGGCUCUAAACUCGAAGUAGGGAGAAUUUGUAUUUUCACAAAGAUGUACCUAACCAAGAUGAUUUUUCAAAAACUAACCACCGGUGAAUUAAUUGAAUUAGUUACCUUAUAAUUUUAUUGAUAUUUUUGCA
rnacentral:lncRNA from 1 species